UCCUCAUUUCCUGCUACCACGUGUCGUCCCCCUUUAAAUCCUAGAUCUCUACGUCUCCUGCCACUUCUUUCUUUGUGCAACACCUCUUACUUACCCUAAUUCACUCUCAUCUCAACUUCAAACUUUUUGAUAUCAUCACCCAUUGUUACAAUUUGUAGCUUAAAUCCCUCCACCUCCUUACCCUAGCUCCUAAUCUUAUCAUCUCCUGAUUCAUCUUUUUGCUCUGUUCGAAAUCUUCAAUGUGCAUGGCUAGAUAGACUGCAUCUCAGGCAAGAACCGAUUGCUGUACUUAAUCUCUGCACAUUUUUGUGUUUCAUCGCCCUUCUAACAUUGUUAUUCUUCAAGAGGGUUUGAAAUCUAGGUUGCUCAAAGUCUUUUCCUUUAUGGGUUAAUCCGAAGAUUCACUCCAUCUCAAGAAAUGUUCUCUUGAUCUUAUUUUACUCCAAUCUAAAUAAGGCGUUGUUGUUAGUUAACACUAGCUUCCCAUCAGGCGUUAAUUGGAUGCCUCAAGCUAUGAAGAUAAAGGAACCUGAGAUUAUUGAACAUGUUGGGCUUGAUUAUUUUGAGAAUUACAUCCAUGGUUAAAGGAUUCUUUAAUCAGUUUCGAGCAUAGUUCUAUGACAGUAAAAAAUGGCAAGUCUUCCGACAUGCACAAAAAAGGUGAAAGAAACAGAGCCUAAGUAGCAGACCUAUUCCGGAAAAAAAAACUAGAAGAACGCUCGGUAAGUGUUUUCCCAUAUUAUUUUUCCUUAUUAGGUUGUGGAACCUGCUACAAAUACAGCUGCAGUUGCGAGGCCUUGGAGUGAUCUUUUCAGGGCUUAAAAGAUUUACCAAACACAGCUCAUAUUGGUUUGAAGAGGAUGGGAGGACUCGAGAAUAAAUUGUUUAUUGAUGCCAUGAAGAGGAAAUAUGACGAGUCAGAGGCGGAAGAUAGAGCGUCGGAAUUAUGUUCGUUGUGGGAAGAGUUUCUUCGCGAUCCAAAUUGCCAUCCGUUUAAAGUCAUCACUGUUAAUGGAAAAUCUCAGCGUGUGAUAGAUGAAAAUGAGGAAAAACUGAAGGGGUUAAAAAGAAACUACGGGGAAGAAGUUUAUAAAGCUGUGGCUACUGUGUUAACAGAAAUAAACGAUUACAAUCCGAGUGGAGCAUAUGUGACAACCGAGCUAUGGAACUUCAACGAGGGCCGGAGAUCUACAUUAAAGGAAGGAGUUAUGUCUCUUUUAGAAAUGUGGGACAUGCACAAACGAAGGCGGAACAUGUGACCGGGUUUCACGCAUGUUACAUUAGAAGUACGAUACAUCAAGUCCCAAAUACCAGGCUCAAACGUUCUAGCAGUUAACAAGUUAACAUGGCAUUCAUUACACAACCACUACCAAACACACAUAGUACCCCACCAUCAUCAACACCUGUUGUGCAAAAGGAGUAGCGAUCGAAUCAAUAAGCAACCUUCCCAACUAAACGACAACUGUCCUUCACGAAACCAGGUCUAUUCCUAACUACAGAUACUACAACAGUAUUACAACAUUAUACCUAUGAAACUUUACUCGCAAUCAACAACACCAAAAGAAUCCGCUACCCAGAUGCUUAAGGACAAGAAGAAAAACUCAGGACUAGAAAAAAGGCACCUCCGGAUAUUUUGUAACCAUUGUGCCAUUAUUUUGUAACUAGAUGCUCAUGGGUAAGAAGAAAAAGUCAAGACUAGGAAGAAAGCAUCUCUUUAGAUAUUGUAUAAUGUUGUACCUAAUUAUUACCAUCAAAGGAGAUAAAAAAACCAAAGUGUAUGUUAUAAGCUUCAUUUUAUAAAUGGCUUCUAUUG